UCAACAACGACAUCACAUAGGUCAAACGUUGCGAAGCAGGAAAUUGGGUCUUUCUGAAAUUCUCACGGAAGAAAACCAAAUUACAGGGAACAUUAGGAAAGUUAGCCUGCAAAUUUGGUUGUGUUACUGUGUUUGCACAGGCUUAUGCAAACUGAGGAGACCUUUUGGAGAACUUGACAGUUGAUCAAAGCAAAGCAGGUUUUGCCCCUGCUUGAGCGUUCUUACAAAGAUUUCCGACGUUUGCGUAAGAUUUUCAAGUGAAAAUGGUAAAGACAAAUUUAGUAUUUUCGACUGUUACAUUGAUCACAUUUCUUGGUCUUGCCAAAGGCAACGUUCUUUGUGAUGACGAAAAAGAGAGAGUAAAACAGUGCAAAAUAGAAUGGUGGUGCAUUAUUUUCAUAACUUUAACAUCUGGAAUUAUCCUUGGAAUUUUCGUCUCUAUUUUAUUUUUUUUGCGUUAUCGUCAACAUUGGUUAAGUAAAAAAACUCAACAGUUUCAAUCUCCAUCUGAAGUUAGGAAAAAUUCUGUUGAUACAACUUAUCAAGAACUGGACAUAUCGAAAAGGAAUAUAGAAGAUAAUAAUUAUGAAUCUUUGCAAAAAAAUAAUGAAUCGGAGUACGUGAUAGCCAACGAAAGCAGAAAUUAUGAGAACAGUAAUUUGUUUUCAAGAAAAUCAUAAAUUUAUUCUAAACAUGUGUUCAUAAACAUUUU